ensembl:lncRNA
CAUAUUUACCCUUUGGUGAAUAGAUGUCCAAGAUAACCUUAAAUGAGCUAUCUAGUUUGGGCACUUCUGAAAAUUGAACAAUUGAACUACUCUGAAACUUCUGCAAGACUGUUAAAAUCUUCACUGCAUUCUACUGAGCAGAUGUACAAGUUCAGUAAAGAAGGCUCCAUCUCCAAAUACAACUUUUCUAAAUGUAUAUAUUUCCCACUGAAGAGAUGUGAAAUACAAGGCAUGCAAAAGUGUAAAAAAGACGAUUGGCUGAUUUGUGGAAGAAGUUAAUUGGGUCAGACAUGAAGACUAAUGCAAGAAAUCAGUA